rnacentral:tRNA from 1 species
ACAUCGGUAGCACAAGGGUUAGUGCAGUCUGCCGGAAACGGAAGGACGCGAGUUCGAUUCCCGUCCGAUGUC